UGACCCAACCUAUAUGCAAAGGAGGCUGGGAAAUGUAGUCCCUGGCUGGGCCGCUGCUGCUUAGCAACAACUCUCCAUCAUGGAAGGGGGACCAAGACUUUUCCAUGGGCAGUUAAGUGUCUUUUUCACGGGAGGCAAAAGGUUUUAUUGCUGAGGUUUUCAUUGCCUUGCUCUGUGAGAGUUUUUGUGCCAGUGUUUGAUGAAUGGUUGUUUUCAUGGCUGCCAAGAGCUGUUGAGUAAGAAUGUAACAGCAGACAUUCAUUUCCUCGCUGUGUUUGUCCAACAACUCACUGUCUCACAGCUGGAAAACUCAUUACUCAUGAGUACUUCUUUCCCAGCUCCUGGCCACCACAAUUCUACUUUCUGUCUCCAUGAAUUUGACUACUGUUAACUCAGACACCGUGUCUUGAGGACACUCAAGAAGCCCUCUGGAGAGUCCCAAGUGAAGAGGACCUGGAACCUUCUGCCAGCUUGUCAUAUGAGAGAGUGCCAGCCGUGUGAGGAACUGAUCCUCCAGUCCCCUGGAGACCUCAGAUGACUGCAGCCUGGCCAACAUCUGACUACAACCUUAUGGAAGCCCACCCCUGAGGCAAAACCACCCACCAAGACUCCCCAAACAGCGAGAUAACAUAUGUUUACUGUUUUAAGCCAUAAAGUUUUGGAAUACUUUAUCACACAACAAGAGAUAACUCAUACAGCUAGAAAUAUGAAAAUAUUUGGCA